rnacentral:rRNA from 1 species
CUAAGAAUAUUCCGCAAUGGGGGGAAACCCGUAGACGGAGCGACGCCGCGUGGACGAUGAAGGCCGGAAGGUUGUAAAGUCCUUUUAUGACAGAGGAAUAAGCGUGGGAGUGGAAAGCCCAUGUGAUGACUGUAGGUCAUGAAUAAGCACCGGCUAAUUACGUGCCAGCAGCCGCGGUAACACGUAAGGUGCGAGCGUUGUUCGGAAUCAUUGGGCGUAAAGGGCAUGUAGGCGGUCUGUCAAGCCAGGCGUGAAAGCCAGGGGCUCAACCCCUGAACUGCGCUUGGAACUGGCGGACUGGAGUCGCUGAGG